rnacentral:tRNA from 1 species
AGGAUUAUAGUUUAUUAAAAACAUUUGAUUUGCACUCAAAAAAUAUUGACAAUCAAUUUAUCUUA